UACGUAGGUGGCAAGCGUUGUCCGGAAUUAUUGGGCGUAAAGCGCGCGCAGGCGGUCCUUUAAGUCUGAUGUGAAAGCCCACGGCUCAACCGUGGAGGGUCAUUGGAAACUGGGGGACUUGAGUGCAGAAGAGGAAAGUGGAAUUCCAAGUGUAGCGGUGAAAUGCGCAGAUAUCAGGAAGAACACCCGUGGCGAAGGCGGCUCUCUGGAACGCAACUGACGCUGAGACGCGAAAGCGUGGGGAGCAAACAGG
rnacentral:rRNA from 1 species